rnacentral:lncRNA from 1 species
CUUGAUUGAAAUUGAGUUGCACCCGUGAGGUUUAUAAAUUAAUCUUUAGGGUUUAUGUGCGGCAGAGGUGAUUCUGUGCAGUUGAGGUCCCUUCAGGGUUUGGAGGCUGCUCUGAGUUCUCUAUCAGGUAGUCUCUCUCUGAUCUUCUGAUGAAUUCCUGAAUAAUGGAAUUCUGCCUCCGAAUUCCUGAAUGAUGGAAUUCUGCCUCCGAAUUCCUGAAUGAUGGGAAUUCUGCCUCCGAAUUCCUGAAUGAUGGGAAUUCUGCCUCCGAAUUCCUGAAUGAUGGGAAUUUUGCCUUCGAAUUCCUGAAAGGUUUAUGUGAGGCAGAGGUGAUUCUGUGCAGUUGAGUUCCCUUCAGGGUUUGGAGGCUGCUCUGAGUUCUCUGUCAGGUAGUCUCUCUCUAGGUUUUGUCCAGGGUUUUGUUCCAAGGAAACCUCAUAGUGUUUUGCUUCUCUUCCUUUUUCUGUCUGUUCUCCCUCUUUUAUAACCUGAUUUUCAUGGCUUUGUGGGCUUAAAUGAGAGAGGUCCAAGUCCAAGAUUUUCCUAUUAUAUUUUAUUUAUUUAUUUUAUUUAUU